rnacentral:rRNA from 1 species
UACGAGGGGGGCAAGCGUUGUUCGGAAUUAUUGGGCGUAAAGGGUGCGUAGGCGGUUUGGUAAGUCUUAUGUGAAAUCUACAGGCUCAACUUGUAGUCUGCAUGAGAAACUGCCGGGCUUGAGUAUGGGAGAGGUGAGUGGAAUUCCUGGUGUAGCAGUGAAAUGCGUAGAUAUCAGGAGGAAUACCGAUGGCGAAGGCAGGUCUCUGGGCUGACACUGACGCUCAUGCACGAAAGCGUGGGGAGCAAACAGG